CUUCCUGUUCACUCCCAUCCCCUGUGACAUACCUUAAUGUUGCCUCGGCGGAUCAGCCCGCGCCCCGUAAAACGGGACGGCCCGCCAGAGGACCCAAACUCUAAUGUUUCUUAUUGUAACUUCUGAGUAAAACAAACAAAUAAAUCAAAACUUUCAACAACGGAUCUCUUGGUUCUGGCAUCGAUGAAGAACGCAGCAAAAUGCGAUAAGUAAUGUGAAUUGCAGAAUUCAGUGAAUCAUCGAAUCUUUGAACGCACAUUGCGCCCGCUGGUAUUCCGGCGGGCAUGCCUGUUCGAGCGUCAUUUCAACCCUCAAGCCCCCGGGUUUGGUGUUGGGGAUCGGCUCUGCCUUCUGGCGGUGCCGCCCCCGAAAUACAUUGGCGGUCUCGCUGCAGCCUCCAUUGCGUAGUAGCUAACACCUCGCAACUGGAACGCGGCGCGGCCAUGCCGUAAAACCCCAACUUCUGAAUGUUGACCUCGGAUCAGGUAGGAAUACCCGCUGAACUUAAGCAUAUCAAUAAGGCGGAGGAAAUGGGGGUUUCCCCCAC
rnacentral:rRNA from 1 species